UACAGAGGUCUCGAGCGUUGUUCGGAUUCAUUGGGCGUAAAGGGUGCGUAGGCGGCGCGGAAAGUUGGGUGUGAAAUCCCUCGGCUCAACCGAGGAACUGCGCCCAAAACUACCGUGCUCGAGGAAGAUAGAGGUGAGCGGAACUUACGGUGGAGCGGUGAAAUGCGUUGAUAUCGUAAGGAACACCCGUGGCGAAAGCGGCUCACUGGGUCUUCUCUGACGCUGAUGCACGAAAGCUAGGGGAGCAAACGGG
rnacentral:rRNA from 1 species